rnacentral:rRNA from 1 species
UACAGAGGGGGCGAGCGUUAUUCGGAAUUAUUGGGCGUAAAGGGCGCGUAGGCGGCCUUUCAAGUGACGGGUGAAAUCCCUCGGCUUAACCGAGGAACUGCCUGUCAGACUGGAAGGCUUGAGACCGGGAGAGGUGAGUGGAAUUCCCAGUGUAGCGGUGAAAUGCGUAGAUAUUGGGAGGAACACCAGUGGCGAAGGCGGCUCACUGGACCGGUACUGACGCUGAGGAGCGAAAGCUAGGGGAGCAAACGGG